GAUGAACGCUGGCGGCGUGCCUAAUACAUGCAAGUCGAGCGAACAGACGAGGAGCUUGCUCCUCUGACGUUAGCGGCGGACGGGUGAGUAACACGUGGAUAACCUACCUAUAAGACUGGGAUAACUUCGGGAAACCGGAGCUAAUACCGGAUAAUAUAUUGAACCGCAUGGUUCAAUAGUGAAAGACGGUUUUGCUGUCUCUUAUAGAUGGAUCCGCGCCGCAUUAGCUAGUUGGUAAGGUAACGGCUUACCAAGGCAACGAUGCGUAGCCGACCUGAGAGGGUGAUAGGCCACACGGGAACUGAGACACGGUCCAGAGGCCUAAGGGAGGCAGCAGUAGGGAAUCUGCCGCAAUGGGCGAAAGCCUGACGGAGCAACGCCGCGUGAGUGAUGAAGGUCUUCGGAUCGUAAAACUCUGUUAUUAGGGAAGAACAAAUGUGUAAGUAACUAUGCACGUCUUGACGGUACCUAAUCAGAAAGCCACGGCUAACUACGUG
rnacentral:rRNA from 1 species